UACAGGGGGUGCAAACGUUGCUCGGAAUCAUUGGGCGUAAAGCGCACGUAGGCGGUUCGUUAUGUCGGAUGUGAAAGCCCUUGGCUUAACCGAGGAAGUGCAUCCGAAACUGGCGAGCUAGAGUACGAAAGAGGAUCGCGGAAUUCCCGGUGUAGAGGUGAAAUUCGUAGAUAUCGGGAGGAACACCGGUGGCGAAGGCGGCGACCUGGGCCAAUAUUGACGCUGAGGUGCGAAAGCGUGGGGAGCAAACAGG
rnacentral:rRNA from 1 species